UCCAAAAUAGAUUCAAUUUUUUUCCCGCUAAGUGUGUUUUGAACACUGAUUUUUCUUCCACUUUCUACCAUAACCUCACUUGGGAAAGUUCCUGCUAAAUCAAAGUCUAUAAGAAGACGAGCAUAAUGGGCAAAAGCCCUUUGUCUGGUUGAUUCGUUGAGAACUAUCGAGGUGCCAAUUGCCACUGGGAUCUCGAAGACAAUCCUUCCCCUCCGAUAUUCUUACAGUAAGUUGUGGAACCUGUCCCAAACCUGAGCGUGGGUUUGCCUCAUUCGAUUGGGGUUGAAAUCAGGACUCCACUGGUGAAGACGCAAGUGCCAAGCGCCGAAAUGCUCCUAAGAUCCUCAGCGGAAGCGAGACAAAAUUCAUAGAACCCCCUCCCCAAAGCCUUUAAUGCAGGGCUUUGGCAGUUGGCUCUAAGAAAUCGCAGGGGUUGGAGACAAUUUGAGCAAAUGACUAGCUAAGACUCGAGGGGGUUUUCUCUAUCGACGGAGCAAGUUUAUGAGUUUCUUCGGAGGAGUUGAGGAAGGCCCAGAGGCAGAAGGGCGCGGCAGCAGGCUCCAUACCGGAAAGGUUACGGUAAGGCGACGAACCCUAGCAGAGCGACGGUGUUCAGGGACAAAUUCGUAACCACUGUUAAUGCACUUAUCCUUCCACAUUUUAAAGUAAACUCAAUUUAUUA